GACGAACGCUGGCGGCGUGCUUAACACAUGCAAGUCGAACGGAAAGGCCCUGCUUUUGUGGGGUGCUCGAGUGGCGAACGGGUGAGUAACACGUGAGUAACCUGCCCUUGACUUUGGGAUAACUUCAGGAAACUGGGGCUAAUACCGGAUAGGAGCUCCUGCUGCAUGGUGGGGGUUGGAAAGUUUCGGCGGUUGGGGAUGGACUCGCGGCUUAUCAGCUUGUUGGUGGGGUAGUGGCUUACCAAGGCUUUGACGGGUAGCCGGCCUGAGAGGGUGACCGGCUGAGGGGGGGCGGGGAGACGGCGCAGAGAGGGAGGGGGGGCAGAGUGGGGUAUGUAUGCAGGAGGAGGGCAGGCGGGGGCGAGGCACGCGGCGUGGGGGAUGAGGGGCUGGUGGUUGAACCCCGCUGGCGGCGGGGACGGUGGGGGGGGGAGGGUAAGGGGACGGGAACCGCCGGCAACCUACGCGUCAGGGCCGGAGGGAAGGACGGAAAGGCAGACGACUGAGC
rnacentral:rRNA from 1 species